UGAGAAGCAGGCAGAGCCUCCGGGCUAUGAGACAAAAAGUUAUAGCCUACGGGUUAUAUGAGACAGAAAGUUAUAGCAUAUGGGCUAUAUGAGACAGAAAGUUAUAGCCUACGGGUUAUAUGAGAAAGAAAGUUAUAGCCUACGGGUUAUACGAGACAGAAAGUUAUAGCCUAUGGGCUAUAUGAGACAGAAAGUUAUAGCCUACGGGCUAUAUGAGACAUAAAGUUAUAUAGCCUUCGGGCUAAGAGACAGAAGGUUAUUGCUUUCGGGCAAUAUGAAAGAGCAGACAAUUUUUUUAUUGCACUUAUAUUUUGUUGUGAUUCUUAUAAUAUGGAUAAAUGCAC
rnacentral:lncRNA from 1 species